GGAGGGAGCUCCCUCGGCGUCCGAGCCGAGAGAGCCUCGCACUGGCAGUGCGAAGCUCGGGGGUUCGUUCCCCCUCAGCUCCG
rnacentral:tRNA from 1 species